rnacentral:rRNA from 1 species
UACGUAGGGUGCAAGCGUUGUCCGGAAUUAUUGGGCGUAAAGAGCUCGUAGGCGGUCUGUCGCGUCUGCUGUGAAAACUCAGGGCUUAACCCUGAGCUUGCAGUGGGUACGGGCAGACUAGAGUGCGGUAGGGGAGACUGGAAUUCCUGGUGUAGCGGUGAAAUGCGCAGAUAUCUGGAGGAACACCGGUGGCGAAGGCGGCAUCCUGGACCAACACUGACGCUGAGGAGCGAAAGCAUGGGGAGCGAACAGG